UACGGGGGGGGGGCAAGCGUUGUUCGGAAUUACUGGGCGUAAAGGGCUCGUAGGCGGCCAACUAAGUCAGACGUGAAAUCCCUCGGCUUAACCGGGGAACUGCAUCUGAUACUGGAUGGCUUGAGUUCGGGAGAGGGAUGCGGAAUUCCAGGUGUAGCGGUGAAAUGCGUAGAUAUCUGGAGGAACACCGGUGGCGAAGGCGGCAUCCUGGACCGACACUGACGCUGAGGAGCGAAAGCCAGGGGAGCAAACGGG
rnacentral:rRNA from 1 species